GACGAACGCUGGCGGCGUGCUUAACACAUGCAAGUCGAACGGAAAGGCCCUGCUUUUGUGGGGUGCUCGAGUGGCGAACGGGUGAGUAACACGUGAGUAACCUGCCCUUGACUUUGGGAUAACUUCAGGAAACUGGGGCUAAUACCGGAUAGGAGCUCCUGCUGCAUGGUGGGGGUUGGAAAGUUUCGGCGGUUGGGGAUGGACUCGCGGCUUAUCAGCUUGUUGGUGGGGUAGUGGCUUACCAAGGCUUUGACGGGUAGCCGGCAUGGGAGGGUGACCGGCCACAUGGGGCCUGAGAUACGGCCCAGACUCCUACGGGAGGCAGCAGUGGGGAAUAUUGCACAAUGGGCGGAAGCCUGAUGCAGCAACGCCGCGUGCGGGAUGACGGCCUUCGGGUUGUAAACCGCUUUCGCCUGUGACGAAGCGUGAGUGACGGUAAUGGGUAAAGAAGCACCGGCUAACUACGUG
rnacentral:rRNA from 1 species